rnacentral:rRNA from 1 species
AUUGAACGCUGGCGGCAGGCCUAACACAUGCAAGUCGAACGAGUAGCGGACGGGUGAGUAAGGUCUGAGAAACUGCCUGAUGGAGGGGGAAAACUACUGGAAACGGUAGCUAAUACCGCAAAACAUCAGAUGUGCCCAGAUGGGAUUAGCUUGUGGGUGGGGUAACGGCUCACAGAGGCGACGAUCCCUAGCGGGUCUGAGAGGAUGACCGGCCACACUGGAACUGAGACACGGUCCAGACUCCUACGGGAGGCAGCAGUGGGGAAUAUUGCACAAUGGGCGCAAGCCUGACGCAGCCAUGCCGCGUGUAUGAAGAAGGCCUUCGGGUUGUAAAGUACUUUCAUCGGGGAGGCGUUACCCACAGAAGAAGCACCGGCUAACUCCGUGCCAGCAGCCGCGGUAAUUC